rnacentral:rRNA from 1 species
UAGGUGAACCUGCGGAGGGAUCAUUACAAGAACGCCCGGGCUUCGGCCUGGUUAUUCAUAACCCUUUGUUGUCCGACUCUGUUGCCUCCGGGGCGACCCUGCCUUCGGGCGGGGGCUCCGGGUGGACACUUCAAACUCUUGCGUAACUUUGCAGUCUGAGUAAACUUAAUUAAUAAAUUAAAACUUUUAACAACGGAUCUCUUGGUUCUGGCAUCGAUGAAGAACGCAGCGAAAUGCGAUAAGUAAUGUGAAUUGCAGAAUUCAGUGAAUCAUCGGAUCUUUGAACGCACAUUGCGCCCCCUGGUAUUCCGGGGGGCAUGCCUGUUCGAGCGUCAUUUCACCACUCAAGCCUCGCUUGGUAUUGGGCAACGCGGUCCGCCGCGUGCCUCAAAUCGUCCGGCUGGGUCUUCUGUCCCCUAAGCGUUGUGGAAACUAUUCGCUAAAGGGUGUUCGGGAGGCUACGCCGUAAAACAACCCCAUUUCUAAGGUUGACCUCGGAUCAGGUAGGGAUACCCGCUGAACUUAAGCAUAUCAAUAAGCGGAGGA